UGAGGGCCCUCUGGGUCCAACCUCCCACCCGUGUUUAUUUUACCUUGUUGCUUCGGCGGGCCCGCCUUAACUGGCCGCCGGGGGGCUUACGCCCCCGGGCCCGCGCCCGCCGAAGACACCCUCGAACUCUGUCUGAAGAUUGUAGUCUGAGUGAAAAUAUAAAUUAUUUAAAACUUUCAACAACGGAUCUCUUGGUUCCGGCAUCGAUGAAGAACGCAGCGAAAUGCGAUACGUAAUGUGAAUUGCAAAUUCAGUGAAUCAUCGAGUCUUUGAACGCACAUUGCGCCCCCUGGUAUUCCGGGGGGCAUGCCUGUCCGAGCGUCAUUUCUGCCCUCAAGCACGGCUUGUGUGUUGGGCCCCGUCCUCCGAUCCCGGGGGACGGGCCCGAAAGGCAGCGGCGGCACCGCGUCCGGUCCUCGAGCGUAUGGGGCUUUGUCACCCGCUCUGUAAGCCCGGCCGGCGCUUGCCGAUCAACCCAAAUUUUUAUCCAGGUUGACCUCGGAUCAGGUAGGGAUACCCGCUGAACUUAAGCAUAUCAAUAA
rnacentral:rRNA from 1 species